GGUUGUGUGGUGUAGGGGUUAGCACUCCAGAUUUUGACUCGCACUCAAUAUUCUGGUGACCUUGGUUCGAUUCCGAGCACGACCU